rnacentral:rRNA from 1 species
AUUGAACGCUGGCGGCAUGCCUUACACAUGCAAGUCGAACGGCAGCACGGGAGCUUGCUCCUGGUGGCGAGUGGCGAACGGGUGAGUAAUACAUCGGAACGUACCCUGAAGUGGGGGAUAACGUAGCGAAAGUUACGCUAAUACCGCAUAUUCUGUGAGCAGGAAAGAGGGGGAUCGCAAGACCUCUUGCUUUAGGAGCGGCCGAUGUCGGAUUAGCUAGUUGGUGAGGUAAAAGCUCACCAAGGCGACGAUCCGUAGCGGGUCUGAGAGGAUGAUCCGCCACACUGGGACUGAGACACGGCCCAGACUCCUACGGGAGGCAGCAGUGGGGAAUUUUGGACAAUGGGCGCAAGCCUGAUCCAGCCAUGCCGCGUGAGUGAAGAAGGCC